GAUGAAGAACGUAGCGAAAUGCGAUACUUGGUGUGAAUUGCAGAAUCCCGUGAACCAUCGAGUCUUUGAACGCAAGUUGCGCCUCAAGCCAUUAGGUUGAGGGCACGUCUGCCUGGGCGUCACAUAUCGUUGCCUGAUGCCAGUUUCCUCGUGAUGGGUGACUGUGCAGGGCGAAUGAUGGCUUCCCGUGAGCAUUGUUGCCUCAUGGUUGGUUGAAAAUUGAGUCCUUGGUAGGGAGCGCCGUGAUAGAUGGUGGUUGAGUGACGAACGAGACCCAAACAUGUGAGACCCCUACCGAAUUUGGCCUUCAUGACCCACAUGCGUCUUUGGAACGCUCAUGACGAGACCUCAGGUCAGGCGGGGCUACCCGCUGAGUUUAAGCAUAUUAAUAAGCGGAGGA
rnacentral:misc_RNA from 1 species